rnacentral:rRNA from 1 species
UACAGAGGUCUCAAGCGUUGUUCGGAUUCAUUGGGCGUAAAGGGUGCGUAGGCGGCGCGGUAAGUCGGACGUGAAAAUCCGGGGCUCAACCCCGGACCUGCAUCCGAAACUGCCCGACUAGAGGUAGGUAGGGGAGAUCGGAAUUCCUGGUGUAGCGGUGAAAUGCGCAGAUAUCAGGAGGAACACCGGUGGCGAAGGCGGGUCUCUGGGCCGAUACUGACGCUGAGGAGCGAAAGCGUGGGGAGCGAACAGG